AGGUACAUGUCUCUUCAAGGACAAUCGAAGGCUUUUGAGCGGGGAAAUUAUGUGACCAGACCCUGGCUUUAGGCAGGGCGGAAAGGGUAGUAGCAGAAGAGAGAGACUAACGGCAAGAGACCAGUUGUGCAGUUAUUUUACAGUGGUUCAGGUCAGAGGUAAUGAGCUGGGAUUGUGGCAGUGGGAACUGGGAGGGAGAAACGGAUAGAAUGAUUCAGCGUAGAGGUAUUGACAACACACUGAGACAGUAAAGAAAACCAGCGUAGGUUUUAAGCGGAGACCUGGUAACGAACUGAGUCUGCGGUGCCAUCUGACUGGGCGUGUGUGUGCCCAGAGGCCAGGGGGCCCCACAGGGAGAAGCCAGAGCUGCACCGGCUCCCUGGGCUGUGCCCCAGCGUUAGGAAGGGACAGCGUGCUCACUCUCUGAGCGUUAGAAGCUGCUGCGAAACUGCAAAUACUCCUCACGUAGAGAAGGAGGGGGAAGGAAACUGAAGAUCAAAAGGAAAGCCUCGUAGGAGGCAGGAAAUCAGUGACAGAAUGUACCGCAUGGGCUGUAAGAAUCAGCCCUUUCAGCCUCUUCCAGGCAGAAAUGUAGUCAGAGGCCACAUUGUCCUUUUCUAGUCUACACCGCCUUCCACCUUUUUUCUUGGACGAGGCGAAGGACAUGUAUCAAGCGGAGAAGCAUUUGGACUUCUGAUGCCUAGUCCCGCUCACGAAAGCUCCUUACGGGCAGUGAUUGUAUCUUUGCAUGCCUUAGACGGGGUGGGUGCUUAAAAAUAUCAACAGAAUUCCCUGAACUGUCUUUAAUUCUCAUUUUGUUGAGCUUUCGUUGCUUCAUUUUGUUGAGCUUUCGUUGUAGAGGAUCUGGACAAGGAGGCAAGCAGUCUGGUCUGACACUUCUGUCCUGGGUGCUCCUAGAGAACUUUACUCAUCCGUGGAUCCUUCCCUGGUUCUCCAUCUUUCUCCACCAAUUUCCUCUGCCCUCAGGAUUUCAUCUCUUCUUAAAGCAGGAAGGGUACCUAACCACCUGGGGGACGUGUGACCUAAGCUGAGGGUGUGUCACCUAUAAACUAGAGAUGAAGCUGACUCACCUGGCUCACAUUCCAAACAGAGCAAGGAAGUCCCACAGACUUCCUCCAAUGUCACAUUCGUGAGAACUUGAUCACAUGCCUAAACCAAGUACUGGCGAGGGGAAUGGAACUCUGCGACUGGCUUUGCUCCAUCAUCGUUCCAGCCACCUCCCUCCCCCUCUCCCCUGAAGACCAGUCGCACGGAGAAAGGUGGCUGAUUGAACAGAACUGGGGUUCCAUAGGCAAGAAGGAAGAAGAAGGAUGGACAUCAGUUAAGUAAUCGACAUGCUGCUACGGCUUUUGAAAAGAGAGAAAAUAUCAAUGAAAUAUUUUAGGAAGCGUAAUCUAGCAAUGGUUCGCAGUGAGAUAGAGAGAGACCCGGAAGAGAGAGACCCGGUUAUACUAUUAUGAGUCUGGAUGUGACUCCAUUAUGAGUGUGGUAUGCGCUAUCAGAGCAAUGGUUCUCAACUGCCAAGUCAUUCAUUUAUUCGUUAAAUAAAUAUUUAAUGAGCGACUGCCACAGGUCAGGCCCUAUGCUGGGUGCCAUAGAUAAAAUGAUGAACUUAUCUCAUGGAGCUUCAUAGUCUAAUGGAUUAAGCAAAUAUCAAUAAGGAAAUCCACAAAUAAGUGGAAGUUUAUAACUUAGUUACUAUUAUGAAAGAACCCAGGAUAUUUGUUUUCUAUGUUUUUAAUUGAGGUAAAAGUCAUACAGUGAAACACACAGAUCUUAAGUACACAACUUGAAGUACAUGUGGCUGUGACUACCCUAUCAAGAUAUAGAACAUUUCCAUCACCCCAGAAAUUUCCCUUGUGCCCCCUUUCUAUUCAAUCCCCACGUUCCUAAUAGGCACAGUUUGAUUUCUAUCAUCAAGAUAGAAUUCUGUUCUUGAAUUCUAUAAUAAUGGUUUCUUUUGCUCAACGAAUGAUUUUGAGAUUAAUCUAUGCUGUUGUGUUUAAAGGGAGUUCGCUUUUAAAAUUUGUAUUUCAUUUUUUGAUCAAAGUAUUUAUCUAUUUUUCCAUUGAUAGACAUUGAGAUGUUUCCAGUUUUGGCCUAUUAUGAAUAAAGCUGCUGUGAACAUUCAUGUAUAAGCUUUUUAUAGACAUAUGUUUCAAUUCCUUUUGGUUAAAUACCUUGGAGUGGAACUGCUGGGUCAUAGGGUGGGAAUAUGUUUAACUUUGUAAGAACCACAAAUGUUAGAACUAAUAAACAAACUGAGUAAAGUCGCAGGAUACAAAAGCAAUAUACUACAAUCUGUUGCAUUGCUUCUAUACACUAACAACAAACUAUCAGAAAAAGAAAUUAAGAAAACAAUCACAUUUACAGUUGCAUCAAAAAGAAUAAAAUAUUUAGGAAUAAAUUUAACCAAGGGUGUGAAUGACUUCUACACUGAAAACUCUAAGAUAUUGAUGAAAGAACUUGAAGAUACAAAUAAAUGAAAAGAUAGUCUGUGCUCAUGGAUAGGAAGAAUUAAUAUUGUUAAAAUGUCUAUACUACCCAAAGCGAUCUACAGAUUCGGUAUGUCCCUAUCAAAAUUCCAAAGGCAUUUUUCACAAAAAUAGAACAAACUUCUAAAAUUUAUACCAAGUCACAAAAGACCCUAAAUAGCCGAAGCAAUCUUGGGAAAGAACAAAGCAAGAGGCAUCACGCACCCCAAUAUCAAACUAUAUUACAAAGCUAUAGUAAUCAAAACAUUGUGGCAUUGGCAUAAAAACAGACACAUAGAUCAA